UGGCCUUGACAUUGAAAGAACACUUUAGAGAUAGAGUGGUGCCCUUCGGGGAGCUUGAAAACAGGUGCUGCACGGCUGUCGUCAGCUCGUGUCGUGAGAUGUUGGGUUAAGUCCCGCAACGAGCGCAACCCUCGCCAAUAGUUAAUAACAGUUCGGCUGAUGACUCUAUUGGGACUGCCUUCGCAAGGAGGAGGAAGGUGAGGACGACGUCAAGUCAUCAUGGCCCUUAUGGCCAGGGCUACACACGUGCUACAAUGGGGUGUACAAAGAGUUGCGAUACCGCGAGGUGGAGCUAAUCUCUUAAAGCAUCUCUCAGUUCGGAUUGUUCUCUGCAACUCGAGAACAUGAAGCUGGAAUCACUAGUAAUCGUAGAUCAGCAAUGCUACGGUGAAUACGUUCCCGGGUCU
rnacentral:rRNA from 1 species